rnacentral:rRNA from 1 species
UACGUAGGGUGCGAGCGUUGUCCGGAAUUAUUGGGCGUAAAGGGCUCGUAGGCGGUUUGUCGCGUCGGGAGUGAAAACUCAGGGCUUAACCCUGAGCCUGCUUCCGAUACGGGCAGACUAGAGGUAUGCAGGGGAGAACGGAAUUCCUGGUGUAGCGGUGAAAUGCGCAGAUAUCAGGAGGAACACUGGUGGCGAAGGCGGUUCUCUGGGCAUGUCCUGACGCUGAGGAGCGAAAGUGUGGGGAGCGAACAGG